rnacentral:misc_RNA from 1 species
GCAACUUCCGAUGACCAACUUACAUCUCUUGGAGAAUUGUUGUAUCAGUGCCAUUAUAGUUACAGUGCAUGUGGACUGGGGUCGGAUGGGACGGACAGGCUAGUUCAGUUGGUUCAAGAUAUGCAGCACUCCAAGUUAUCCAAAUCCGAAGAUGGGACUUUGUAUGGAGCAAAGAUUACUGGCGGGGGCUCUGGUGGAACCGUCUGUGUCAUGGGUCGAAACUCCUUAGGCAGCAGCCACCAAAUCAUUGAGAUUCAGCAAAGAUACAAAGGAGCAACCGGGUUCUUGCCAUAUGUUUUUGAUGGUUCUUCCCCUGGUG